AAAUUAUUACCAUCACAUAUAAUAAAAUAUAUAUAUAUAAUAUUACUAUUUACCUUGUUCCUCAAGUUUCUUUCCAAACUUCCGGCGAACAUUUUCUUUUAUUCCAGAUUUUGAUCGGAAGUUAUCAAGCAUGAUGACCCGUGGAGCAACAAGGAUGACACGAGUUGUCAUGGGUCAUAUGGGUACACGUUACUUUUCAACUACAGUUCUGCGAAAUAAUCCCGGGACCGGAGUUGUUGGUGGAGUCGCUGCCGGACUUUUGCAUGGUUUUCCGGCGAAUCCAUCGGAGAAAGUGGCAGUAACGUGGGUUAGGCAUUUUUCGGCGAUGGGUUCACGGAGCGCUAGUACUGCGGCUUUGAAUGAUAAGCAACAAGAGAAGGAAAGUAGUGACAAAAAAGUGGAGAACACCGCCACCGCCGCUGUAAACGGUGGUGUUGGUAAAUCUGUGGUGAGUUAUUGGGGUGUUCCUCCUUCAAAGGCUACUAAACCAGAUGGUACUGAAUGGAAAUGGAAUUGUUUUAGGCCAUGGGAGACUUAUGAAGCUGAUAUGUCGAUAGAUCUGACGAAACACCAUGCGCCUGUAACGUUUUUGGAUAAAUUUGCUUAUUGGACUGUUAAGAUCCUUCGUUUCCCCACUGAUGUAUUUUUUCAGAGGAGAUAUGGUUGCAGAGCAAUGAUGUUAGAGACAGUGGCGGCGGUGCCUGGAAUGGUGGGAGGUAUGUUGUUGCAUUGUAAGUCAUUGAGGCGAUUCGAACAGAGUGGUGGAUGGAUCAAAGCUCUGUUAGAAGAAGCUGAAAACGAGAGGAUGCAUUUGAUGACUUUCAUGGAAGUUGCAAAGCCAAAUGUAUACGAACGUGCUCUGGUUUUCGCAGUGCAAGGCGUCUUCUUCAACGCUUACUUUGCUGCAUACCUUAUCUCCCCAAAAUUGGCUCAUCGUAUCGUUGGAUAUUUGGAAGAAGAGGCUGUGCAUUCGUACACCGAGUUCCUCAAGGAAUUGGACAAUGGUAACAUUGAGAACGUUCCUGCUCCCGCUAUUGCUAUUGAUUACUGGCGAUUGCCUAAGGAUGCCACUCUCCGCGAUGUUGUCUUGGUUGUUAGGGCUGAUGAGGCUCAUCAUCGCGAUGUCAACCACUAUGCAUCUGACAUUCAUUACCAAGGACAACAGCUGAAGGACUCACCAGCACCACUUGGGUAUCACUAAGCGACUAAUAAUAAAUACAAAGAUAUGACUUAUCAAGCUAAAAGUUCGUCACUAUUUUGUUCCUUUUUUGAACUGGUAAUAGAGAUAUGUAGUAGGUAUUACUAAUCUCGAAUGUUGAUGUACAUAUUUUUGUGUGGAUUUGGUUCGUUCUUUGCUGCCUCUUCAUCGAUAAGAGGAUCAAAAUUAGGACGUAAUAACAAAAGAAGAUAAUUGCGGUUGUGGGAGAUUUGAGGUCCAUAAGUUUAAGUAUCCCUUUCUGAACUUUGUGAAACUCCAUUGAAGCUCCAACUUUGGAUAUUUCUUUUUAUACCGGCAGGCAGCUGAAAUAUGAGAUCUUUUUUAUGGUUAGGAAUGAAUGUGAUUCGAGUAGAAGUAAGCAAUACAUGCUCAAUUUUGAAGGUUGUGAAUUGGCUGCUUCGUCUACCUUUAUGAAAGCUUGAUAAAAGAAGAAUCUUUGCAUCAGUUUCCGAUGAAAUGUUAAGAGACAUAAUAGAAGAGCAAAGAGACGAGCUAUGAAUACUUGUGGGAAUACACUGGAUAUGUUGACAAUUACUACUUUCAGGGGGUUUAUAGAUCCAAUUAUCGGAUUGGGAGAAGAGAUCAAUGGUAGGAAUCAGCAACUACAACGGGUUGUUUGUGAAGGCGUUGUAUGGUUUAUGGGAAUAUGACACCACAUGAUCUGCAGUUGAAGCUAGAGUUAUUCAUGAUCUUGAACUAAUAGAUGCUCCUCUCUAUUGGGGAAAUUGAUCGCGAUAUCUCAUCAAGAAAUGACAGAUUUUUAUUUCUCCAUUGAUUGGGAUGAUGAUUUUUACAACAUAAAACAAUCUUUGCUCCCAUUUAUUACACAAGAUUUGAAGCUGAAAGAAGAAAUAGUGUCAUUCACAAUAAUGCUUGAAUUCUUAGAGAUUAUUGAUGAUGUUGAACUAAUAAAUCCUCCUUUCUUUGGGGGAAAUUAUACGUUGAACUAGGGAAAUAAUCGCGAUAUCUCACCAAGAAUAUUCAACAGGUUUUUGUUCUCUAUUGAUUGGGAUGAGGAUUUCAACAACCAUAAUACAAUCCAAGUUGUAUUUUUAGUUUGAUAAUUGGUGGCUUGAGGCGGCCUUCAACAUUAACCUACGCGUUGAAGGAUCCACAAAAAAAAUGGAGGGCUAAGUGUAGUUCUUUUGAGGUCCAAGGCAAGACUUGAUUACAUUUUAGCUUUGCUAAUUGAGAUUGUUGAAAUCAAAACUGAAUAUUGAAAGUCA